GACGAACGCUGGCGGCGUGCUUAACACAUGCAAGUCGAACGGAAUGGCCCUGCUUUUGUGGGGUGCUCGAGUGGCGAACGGGUGAGUAACACGUGAGUAACCUGCCCUUGACUUUGGGAUAACUUCAGGAAACUGGGGCUAAUACCGGAUAGGAGCUCCUGCUGCAUGGCGGGGGUUGGAAAGUUUCGGCGGUUGGGGAUGGACUCGCGGCUUAUCAGCUUGUUGGUGGGGUAGUGGCUUACCAAGGCUUUGACGGGUAGCCGGCCUGAGAGGGUGACCGGCCACAUUGGGACUGAGAUACGGCCCAGACUCCUACGGGAGGCAGCAGUGGGGAAUAUUGCACAAUGGGCGGAAGCCUGAUGCAGCAACGCCGCGUGCGGGAUGACGGCCUUCGGGUUGUAAACCGCUUUCGCCUGUGACGAAGCGUGAGUGACGGUAAUGGGUAAAGAAGCACCGGCUAACUACGUG
rnacentral:rRNA from 1 species